CAGUCGCCGCGGGAAUACGUAGGUGGCGAGCGUUGUCCGGAUUUAUUGGGCGUAAAGGGAGUGUAGGCGGUCUUUUAAGUCUGAUGUGAAAGCCCACGGCUCAAUCGUGGAGGGUCAUUGGAAACUGGGAGACUUGAGUGCAGAAGAGGAGAGCGGAAUUCCAUGUGUAGCGGUGAAAUGCGUAGAGAUGUGGAGGAACACCAGUGGCGGAGGCGACUCUCUGGUCUGUAACCGACGCUGAGGAGCGAAAGCGUGGGGAGCGAACAGGAUUAGAUACCCCAGUAGUCCCUGUCUCUUAUAC
rnacentral:rRNA from 1 species